CGCAAUUGGUUUGACCGCCGCGGAGGCGUGGCGUAACCCCAAAACCAAUCUCCGUCGAUUCCGCCCUAUUACAAGACGUCGACAGCAAGCAACAUCGAUCUCGAUCCGCUCCCCUCGUCCGAUGACCUCAUCGAGUCGCCGUCCUCCUCGCGACACCAGCCAUCGGUUAGCUGUGGUAACUGGGAAAUUUCCUUCGGUUAUGCGAGAAUUCUGAUCACAGAUUUCCACCUCAAGGUCACCAUGUAAAAAAUGCAUGGAAGAAAAGGAUGAAACUAAUUCGGGUGGUGGAGGCCAAAUGCAGUUUUUGAACAGAUCGCAGGUUAAGCAUCCAGACGAUAACUCCAAGUCUGAAGGAAUAGAAGUGGAUCAGAUCGAAAUUAGCAAAGCUCAAGUUGCUGUUUACUUUAAUGCUUGUGAAGGUUCAAAGAACAUGCAUACGUAGCAGAAUCAUCAGUGUGGAUUGCAUUGACCAGCACAAGUCUGCAGAUCUUGAUAUAUCUAUAUCCUUGGCGAAAUCAGCAGAUGUAUAAGAGAAUACUUUGAAGGGAGAUUUCUUGAAGCAAGGUUAGAGGUAGACAAGAUGAUCUGAGAGCCUCAAGAGGUUCAAUUGUUGGUGGAAUAAGGCAAUGAAAAGAAGCAAGUGAUAUGCACCAGAUAUCAACUUGACACAUUCUUUGGUUCUUUUGGAAGGUACUCUGAAGUCUGAAGAGCAAAGGAUGAUGAUUUGGCUUGUCUCUCACUCUGGUGGGAAGGCAGCAUCCCUUGGACAUUAUUUAUGGCAGAGGAUAGCCUCUUCUUUAUCGAUGACAUCCUUCGCCUGAGAGCUGAAUUGACCAUCAAGCAGGCUUCCACAAUGUCAUUGCAGUCUUAAGUAUUGCUUAGCCUUCCGUUCGAUAACUGGCAUUCUAUGACCCCUGGAUAUCGAUGUGGAGAUAAUACAUCUUUGUAAUUGCACUCAUACCUGUUGAUAUCGAUACCAAACAAAAUAUGAAACAUGACAAACCAUCAGAUUUUGCUAUGUACAUGCAGAAGUCUUUCAGUUUUGUA